AUGCAAAUCAUGCAAAUGAGAACAGAACGAAUGAACAGAAUUAAGAGAGAGGUCUUCUGUGGAGGGAGCUUAUUGUGAAAUUAAGAAAAACACGGAGGUUAUUCUGGCAAAUCGUUGGGUGUGAAGAAACUCGAAGUUGACUACUCCACAAUUACUGUAAGCUGCAACAGAGGAGAUACAAACAUAUAUCGUUAGAAAUUUUGGCAGAUGACAAGAAUUUGUGUCGCCGAUGAAUGCCCAAUACAACAUAAAGUAAACUGAGGAGGAUAAAGGCAACUGACCUAUCUAUCUAUUCAAGCGAUUUUCUAAUCCGACGUAUUUUAAGUUACAAGUAUGGCUACUCAAACAUGAUAACUUGAGGAAGACCACCUAAGUUGCCAUCACACCAACUUACGGUGCGCGCGCGCUACAUGCUGAGGAAGACGACGAAGAGCAGCGGGGGGCGGGAACUCACGGAGCGGAUCGCAUCAGGUGUACGGACUUGCGGCGCGCGCCGUUUGUAGACGACUCCGGGGAAUUCUGCCUGAACACUCGGCAUCAGGUAAACUUUCAAGACAUUCUCGAGUCAGUUUGGGUUGGGGAGCAUGCACCUCGGGAUCCAGAUGGCAACCUCCCAGGCAGACAAUACAGAACAAUGUAUUCUUGAAAUUGGUAACCUCCACAUAUUAGAAAAGAAUUAUAAGCACAUGAGAAAAGUAAAUACUAUAUUUCACUAAGCAUUAAGAUAAGGAUUAAAAAGACUUAUGCCUA